rnacentral:tRNA from 1 species
GAGGCUUAGGAUAAUAUUAAAACCAAGAGCCUUCAAAGCCCUAAAUAGGGGUGAAAAUCCCCUAGUCUCU